AUCUUAUCCAGAGUGGCUGAGGGAAGGGCCCUGCGACGCCACAGCAACCGGUUCACCAUCAAGGUGGAUGCUGGUGCUAACUCCUGCCCCGCGCGUGUUCGUCGACCUUUCGGGUUUUGAACAAACCCCAGGUUCGCCGGGCAACGACGCAGAUGGGACAGAUAAGAU
rnacentral:ncRNA from 1 species